CAGAUUGAUUCCCAGCUGGCCCUGGAGAGAGGUUCAUUACCACAGUUGUUGAAGAAUCUUGGGGUUUUCAACAGAUGAGCAGAUAUUAGACAAUCGAGCUAAAGGUCUCCUGAGGAGGAGGCAACUGUCCUGAUUGUGUCUCCUCGGACUCAGACAUCACAGCCACACCAAAUCUCCUGGAAGCACGAGGCAAAGGAAGAAGAAUUCGGCUUAGCCGAGAGACGGGAUGGAUAUCGGGGCCCCUGCAGAAUCCCCUCCUCCCAUCUCUUUUUCACUCUCUCUCGCUGACUUUUCAUUCUGUGCCGUGGAAGAUUUACUGUAAUCUGGCAGAUCAAAGGCGAGCAUCGCAAUCCUAUUCCCCUAAUCCAGUUUGAUGGUGACUUUUGCACAUGUAAUAACACUGGCAAAAAGAGAGAUCGCUUUUAAGCACUGCUUUUUUUUUCCUCCCUCUGUUGUCACAGUAAUAAUCAUAUUUAUAAAAACAGAGUCAAAGCCAGUGCUAUUUUAGUCCCUGAUAACACUUUGCAUUAAUAAUCAUGUCACAACUGAUAUUUUUCACCCUAUCAUACUUGCAGUAUGCAUGCUGCUGAUAUCAUCUCUUAGGAUUUUCAUUUGAUACAAACCUAACUAAAAUAAAGUUAUUAUUGAAACAUG